rnacentral:rRNA from 1 species
GUGGGGAAUUUUGGACAAUGGGCGCAAGCCUGAUCCAGCAAUGCCGCGUGCAGGAAGAAGGCCUUCGGGUUGUAAACUGCUUUUGUACGGAACGAAACGGUCCGGGUUAAUACCCUGGGCUAAUGACGGUACCGUAAGAAUAAGCACCGGCUAACUACGUGCCAGCAGCCGCGGUAAUACGUAGGGUGCGAGCGUUAAUCGGAAUUACUGGGCGUAAAGCGUGCGCAGGCGGUGAUGUAAGACAGAUGUGAAAUCCCCGGGCUCAACCUGGGAACUGCAUUUGUGACUGCAUCGCUGGAGUGCGGCAGAGGGGGAUGGAAUUCCGCGUGUAGCAGUGAAAUGCGUAGAUAUGCGGAGGAACACCGAUGGCGAAGGCAAUCCCCUGGGCCUGCACUGACGCUCAUGCACGAAAGCGUGGGGAGCAAACAGGAUUAGAUACCCGGGUAGUCC